AUUGAACGCUGGCGGCAGGCUUAACACAUGCAAGUCGAGCGAGCGGCGGACGGGUGAGUACUGUCUGGGAAACUGCCUGAUGGAGGGGGAUAACUACUGGAAACGGUAGCUAAUACCGCAUACCAUCAGAUGUGCCCAUCUGGGAUUAGCUAUUAGGUGGGGUAAAGGCUCACCUAGGCGACGAUCCCUAGCUGGUCUGAGAGGAUGACCAGCCACACGGGAACUGAGACACGGCCAAGACUCCAACGUGAGGCAGCAGUGGGGAAUAUUGCACAAUGGGCGCAAGCCGGAUGCAGACAUGCCGGGUGUGUGAAGAGGGCCUUAGGGUGGUAAAGUACUUUCAGCGAGGAGGCGUUACUCGCAGAAGAAGCACCGGCUAACUCCGUGCCAGCCGCCGCGGUAAUAC
rnacentral:rRNA from 1 species